UACGAAGGGGGCUAGCGUUGCUCGGAUUUACUGGGCGUAAAGGGCGCGUAGGCGGACAGUUUAGUCAGAGGUGAAAGCCCAGGGCUCAACCUUGGAAUUGCCUUUGAUACUGGCUGUCUUGAGUACGGGAGAGGUCAGUGGAACUCCGAGUGUAGAGGUGAAAUUCGUAGAUAUUCGGAAGAACACCAGUGGCGAAGGCGACUCACUGGCCCGUUACUGACGCUGAGGCGCGAAAGCGUGGGGAGCAAACAGA
rnacentral:rRNA from 1 species